rnacentral:snRNA from 1 species
AUACUUACCUGGCAGGGGAGAUACCAUGAUCACGAAGGUGGUUCUCCCAGGGCGAGGCUCAUCCAUUGCACUUCGGCUGUGCUGACCCCUGCGAUUUCCCCAAAUGCGGGAAACUCGACUGCAUAAUUUCUGGUAGUGGGGGACUGCGUUCGCGCUUUCCCCUG